rnacentral:rRNA from 1 species
GUGGGGAAUAUUGGACAAUGGGCGCAAGCCUGAUCCAGCCAUGCCGCGUGAGUGAUGAAGGCCUUAGGGUUGUAAAGCUCUUUCACCGAUGAAGAUAAUGACGGUAGUCGGAGAAGAAGCCCCGGCUAACUUCGUGCCAGCAGCCGCGGUAAUACGACGGGGGCUAGCGGUGUUCGGAUUUACUGGGCGUAAAGCGCACGUAGGCGGAUCGUUAAGUCGGGGGUGAAAUCCUGGAGCUCAACUCCAGAACUGCCUUCGAUACUGGCGAUCUUGAGUCCGGAAGAGGUGAGUGGAACUCCUAGUGUAGAGGUGGAAUUCGUAGAUAUUAGGAAGAACACCAGUGGCGAAGGCGGCUCACUGGUCCGGUACUGACGCUGAGGUGCGAAAGCGUGGGGAGCAAACAGGAUUAGAUACCCUAGUAGUCC